rnacentral:rRNA from 1 species
UACGGAGGGUGCGAGCGUUGUCCGGAAUUACUGGGCGUAAAGGGCGCGUAGGCGGCGCGGUAAGUCAACGGUGAAAGCUUGGGGCUCAACCCCGAGUCGGCCGUCGAUACUUCUGGGCUUGAGCACUGUAGAGGCAGGUGGAAUUCCGGGUGUAGCGGUGGAAUGCGUAGAGAUCCGGAAGAACACCGGUGGCGAAGGCGGCCUGCUGGGCAGUAGCUGACACUGAUGCGCGACAGCGUGGGGAGCAAACAGG